UAUACACUGUAAAAAAAAUCUGUAAAAUAACAGUUAAAUGACUGUAUAUUUUAACAGAUUUUUUCCGUAUACACGUAUUACGGGUGUUUUUCCGUUUAUAUACAUUUUCGAAUUGCAUUGUGGGAAGGGGAUCGCAGCUCAGACAGCGUUUGAUGGACACCGGGACAUAUUUCUUCCUCUGUUUUUUCCCUGGUAAGUACGAUUAAUAAAACAUAUAACAAUAUUUUAGUUAAAAGACUGCUUUAUUACCUUUUUAUCGUUAUUUAAAAUGAUUUUUGUCUUUUAUGAAGCGCCCAUGGAAAGUACAGCAUUGUUUGUCCGUAUUUUUCUAAACUGCCGUGCGCGGGAAGUGGCGUGACGUCCAAUCACCCACUCACUCCCUCUGCACCUGACUGGAUUAACGGUAAACGUCAGUUUGUCUGUAAGAGUGUAAAAGGUUCUUUCAUUUUGGUUAUAAGUACAUGUUACAGGUAAAUUCUUAGAUUCAAUCCAAACUGAAUUUGAAUUAAUACGGACAAAUGAAAUAAAAUACACCUGGGAUUUUAAAUGUUUUCAUUUUUUUAUUAUUCACAACGUUUGUGAAGUCUAAAUGUAGACUGUCUCAAACUGAAUAAGUGUUAUUUUUGUUGUAGGUGUGUUGGUGUAAAAAUUGAUGCUGACUGAACUCAGGCAGUUGUGCUGGACCAUCUGUACCUAAUACAGGGGAUGACAGUAAACUUCCAAGUUUAAGAGCCACCUGAUGAUGAGAGAGACAAUUUCAAUGUGGGCAUCUUGAUGAAGAAGAGUCCACAGUCACAAUAACAAGAUCAUUGAGCUGUCCCCUAAUUGUGGUGAGCUACAUGUUUAGUCUCUUAUGUGCUAAACAUUAUGUAGCCUAAGGAAGCAGCCCUGACUCUGGAGUUUAUAUGAAGGAGCAUGCUGAGUAACUAUCCAGAAUGUAGGUCCAUAGCAGAAAAAAGUGCACCAAGCAGAAACAUACCAUCUAAACUCCUUCGAUUCCUGUCAGACCAGAAAGACUUUCAGAAUCCUUGGAAGAUUUAAAGCCAUUGAAGUAUCAGUAUUGGAGCGGAAGAAGACCCAGUUGUAUCGUCUGUUUCCUGCCAUCUUGCAGUUAACCUGGUUUCUUAAUGUAAAGUACUUGUAAUUUGCCCACUUGUCCUCAAUUAUCUUAAAGCUAACAUUUAAAACUAAUUUGCUUUGAGAUUAUUUGCCAAGACUUCUCACUGUGUGAUUCACAUGUCAAUAUGUAUUAUUGUGUGU